CACGCCGUAAACGAUGAGUGCUAGGUGUCGGGUGUCAAAGCUCGGUGCCGCAGCUAACGCAUUAAGCACUCCGCCUGGGGAGUACGUACGCAAGUAUGAAACUCAAAGGAAUUGACGGGG
rnacentral:rRNA from 1 species